AUUGAACGCUGGCGGCAGGCCUAACACAUGCACGUCGAACGAGUGGCGGACGGGUGAGAAGUGUCUGGGACACUGCCUGAUGGAGGGGGAUAACUACUGGACACUGUAGCUAAUACCGCAUACACUCAGAUGUGCCCAGAUGGGUUUAGCUUGUUGGUGGGGCAACGGCUCACCAAGGAGACGACCCCUAGCUGGUCUGAGAGGAUGACCGGCCACCCUGGAACUGAGACACGGUCCAGACUCCUCCGGGAGGCAGCAGUGGGGAAUAUUGCACAAUGGGCGCAAGCCUGAUGCAGCCAUGCCGGGUGUAUGAAGAAGGCCUUGGGGUUGUAAAGUACUUUCAGCGGGGAGGCGUUACCCGCAGAAGAAGCACCGGCUAACUCCGUGCCAGCAGCCGCGGUAAUUC
rnacentral:rRNA from 1 species